CUGCUUUCUUCAGCAGCAAAAUUACUAAAAUUGGAAUGAUAUACAGAUUAGCAUGGCCCCUGCACAUGGGUGACAUGGAAAUUCAUGAAAUGUUUCAUAUUUAA